UCCGUAGGCGGUGUAGCAAGUCGAUAGUGAAAUCUCUGGGCUUAACCCAGAGGCUGCUAACGAAACUGCUAUGCUAGAGUGUGAGAGAGGCGAGUGGAAUUACGGGUGUAGCGGUGAAAUGCGUAGAUAUCCGUAGGAACAUCCGAGGCGAAGGCGGCUCGCUGGAUCACAACUGACGCUGAGGGACGAAAGCUAGGGGAGCAAACAGGAUUAGAUACCCUGGUAGUCCUAGCCCUAAACCAUCAGGACUUGGGGUUUGCCCUGUACGGGGCAAGUCCCGUAGCUAACGCGUUAAGUCCUGCGCCUGGGGAGUACGGUCGCAAGGCUGAA
rnacentral:rRNA from 1 species